rnacentral:misc_RNA from 1 species
GAAAUGCGAUAAGUAAUGUGAAUUGCAGAAUUCAGUGAAUCAUCGAAUCUUUGAACACACCUUGCGCUCCUUGGUAUUCCUUGGAGCAUGCCUGUUUGAGUAUCAUGAAAUCUUCAAAGUAAAUCUUUUGUUAACUCAAUUGGUUUCUACUUUGGUAUUGGAGGUCUUUGCAGCUUCACACCUGCUCCUCUUUGUUCAUUAGCUGGAUCUCAGUGUUAUGCUUGGUUCCACUCGUCGUGAUAAGUUAUCUAUCGCUGAGGACACUGUAAAAGGUGGCCAAGGUAAAUGCAGAUGAACCGCUUCUAAUAGUCCAUUGACUUGGACAAUACUUUUAUGAUCUGAUCUCAAAUCAGGUAGGACUACCCGCUGAACUUAAGC